rnacentral:tRNA from 1 species
GUUUUAAUAAUUUAAAUAAAAUAUUGGUCUUGUAAAUCAAAAUUAAGAGUAAUCUUUUAAAACU